GAGUUUGAUCUGGCUCAGGACGAACGCUGGCGGCGUGCCUAAUACAUGCAAGUCGAACGCUUCUUUUCCCACCGGAGCUUGCUCCACCGGGAAAAGAGGAGUGGCGAACGGGUGAGUAACACGUGGGUAACCUGCCCAUCAGAAGGGGAUAACACUUGGAAACAGGUGCUAAUACCGUAUAACAAUCGAAACCGCAUGGUUUCGUUUUGAAAGGCGCUUUACGGUGCCGCUGAUGGAUGGACCCGCGGUGCAUUAGCUAGUUGGUGAGGUAACGGCUCACCAAGGCCACGAUGCAUAGCCGACCUGAGAGGGUGAUCGGCCACAUUGGGACUGAGACACGGCCCAAACUCCUACGGGAGGCAGCAGUAGGGAAUCUUCGGCAAUGGACGAAAGUCUGACCGAGCAACGCCGCGUGAGUGAAGAAGGUUUUCGGAUCGUAAAACUCUGUUGUUAGAGAAGAACAAGGGUGAGAGUAACUGUUCACCCCUUGACGGUAUCUAACCAGAAAGCCACGGCUAACUACGUGCCAGCAGCCGCGGUAAUACGUAGGUGGCAAGCGUUGUCCGGAUUUAUUGGGCGUAAAGCGAGCGCAGGCGGUUUCUUAAGUCUGAUGUGAAAGCCCCCGGCUCAACCGGGGAGGGUCAUUGGAAACUGGGAGACUUGAGUGCAGAAGAGGAGAGUGGAAUUCCAUGUGUAGCGGUGAAAUGCGUAGAUAUAUGGAGGAACACCAGUGGCGAAGGCGGCUCUCUGGUCUGUAACUGACGCUGAGGCUCGAAAGCGUGGGGAGCAAACAGGAUUAGAUACCCUGGUAGUCCACGCCGUAAACGAUGAGUGCUAAGUGUUGGAGGGUUUCCGCCCUUCAGUGCUGCAGCUAACGCAUUAAGCACUCCGCCUGGGGAGUACGACCGCAAGGUUGAAACUCAAAGGAAUUGACGGGGGCCCGCACAAGCGGUGGAGCAUGUGGUUUAAUUCGAAGCAACGCGAAGAACCUUACCAGGUCUUGACAUCCUUUGACCACUCUAGAGAUAGAGCUCCCCCUUCGGGGGCAAAGUGACAGGUGGUGCAUGGUUGUCGUCAGCUCGUGUCGUGAGAUGUUGGGUUAAGUCCCGCAACGAGCGCAACCCUUAUUGUUAGUUGCCAUCAUUUAGUUGGGCACUCUAGCAAGACUGCCGGUGACAAACCGGAGGAAGGUGGGGAUGACGUCAAAUCAUCAUGCCCCUUAUGACCUGGGCUACACACGUGCUACAAUGGGAAGUACAACGAGUCGCGAAGUCGCGAGGCUAAGCUAAUCUCUUAAAGCUUCUCUCAGUUCGGAUUGUAGGCUGCAACUCGCCUACAUGAAGCCGGAAUCGCUAGUAAUCGCGGAUCAGCACGCCGCGGUGAAUACGUUCCCGGGCCUUGUACACACCGCCCGUCACACCACGAGAGUUUGUAACACCCGAAGUCGGUGAGGUAACCUUUUGGAGCCAGCCGCCUAAGGUGGGAUAGAUGAUUGGGGUGAAGUCGUAACAAGGUACCGUAA
rnacentral:rRNA from 1 species